rnacentral:rRNA from 1 species
AUUGAACGCUGGCGGCAGGCCUAACACAUGCAAGUCGAGCGAGCGGCGGACGGGUGAGUAAUGUAUGGGGAUCUGCCCUAUAGCGGGGGAUAACUACUGGAAACGGUGGCUAAUACCGCAUACUAUUGGCUGAACCCAUAUGGGAUUAGCUAGUAGGUGGGGUAAAGGCUUACCAAGGCGACGAUCUAUAGCUGGUCUGAGAGGAUGAUCAGCCACACUGGGACUGAGACACGGCCCAGACUCCUACGGGAGGCAGCAGUGGGGAAUAUUGCACAAUGGGCGAAAGCCUGAUGCAGCCAUGCCGCGUGUAUGAAGAAGGCCUUAGGGUUGUAAAGCACUUUCAGCGGGGAGGCGUUACCCGCAGAAGAAGCACCGGCUAACUCCGUGCCAGCAGCCGCGGUAAUAC